CAUAACAGAAUAAUUGUGAAGUUUCAAGGUAUUACUCUACAGAUUGCAUGUUAAUUACAAAUGGUAAAACUUACUUUUUUAUGGAGAAAUCUGGUGGGAACCACCUUAACCAGGAGAUCAAAUUUAACUUCCUUAAUAGUGGGACAAUCUGACAUAAUGUCCUUUCUGAUUUGAAGUAACAUGAAAUACAAAGUAUUGCUUAUAGAGAAUUUUUGCCAAGACUGUUUAACUUAAAUCUAACCAAAUCAUUAGAUCUAACUCCCAGUUCACAGGAAACACAGAGGAACAGAUUAACUAAAACCAGGAAGAAACAAUCAGAGAAAACCUAUUGGAAGUCAUUCUGUAAGGCAGUUAUUCUGGUAUCUCCUAAAAGUCAGUGUAAUGGGAGGAAAAAAAAAUGGUGGGGAUUGUUUUAGAUAUAACAAACAAAUGCACUAUGGGAAACUUUAUUGGAUUUUGGAUUACAAAAAUAACUGUAAAAGACAUUUUAAGGAAAAUUGGGUUGUUUCCAUGUCUUGGCUAUUGUGAAUAGUGCUACAGUGAACAUGCACGUGCAUGUGUCUUUUUUAAGGAAAGUUUUGUUGGGAUAUAUGCCCAAGAGUGGGAUAGUGAAGUCAGGAAGAGAAAGACAAAUGCCAUAUGAUAUCACUUAUAUCUGGAAUCUAAUAUGUGGCACAAAUGAACCUAUCCACAGAAAAGAAAAUCAUGGACUUGGAGAAUAGACUUAUGGUUGCCAAGGGGGAGGCGGGGGAGUGGGAUGGAUUGGGAGCUUGGGAUUAAUAGAUGCAGACUGUUGCCUUUGGAAUGGAUUAGCAAUGAGAUCCUGCUGUGUAGCACUAGGAACUAUGUCUAGUCACUUAUAAUGGAGCAUGAUAAUGUGAGAAAAAAGAAUGUAUACAUGUAUGUGUAACUGGGUCACCAUGCUGUACAGUAGAAAAAAUAUAAUGUAUUAGGGAAAUAAAAGAUAAUUGGGAAUAUUUGAAUAUGAAUUGGAUAUUAGAUGAUAUUAUGGAAUUGUUAUAUUUUUAUAUGGGAUAGUGAUGUUAUAGCUACAUAAAAAUAUGCUUAUUCUUAGGAGAUGACAAUAAUUAUUUGAGGGGAAGAUUUAUGUAUGAAAUUUACAUUCAAAUAAUCCCUCGAAGAAUGAGAGAUAGUAAGAGAGCACGAGAGAGGGCAAGCAAAUAUGGCAAAAUAUUAAUAAUUGUUGACUUCAGAUGGUAGACAUAUGAGCACUCAUUUUAUUAUUCUUUUAAAUUUCUGUUUUUGAAAUUUUUCAAAACAAAGAAAAGGAAAAACACAGGUUAAACCAAAAAGAAAAAAAUCAAGCACUUCAUAUGAAUACUUGGCAUUCUGAUUGUAUUUGCAACCUCAUAAAUAUCAUAAAGUUAGAAUAUUUAGAAUUCUCCUUUCAUGGUUUGUUUCUUUUAAAACUGCUUCAGAGAAAAUAGUUUGAAUACUCUUGUAAGGUUGGUCCUGUCUUGAGAGAUUUAUGGAUUUUUUUUUUCCCCAGUCUGUUUAUAACCUUCUGUAAAGCUUGUGGAACCUUUUGGACUAAUCAUCAAUAAACAUUUACUAAGUACUUCCCAGAGUGCCAGGCACUCUACUAGUCAAAAUGGGCUUAACAGUGUUCAGAGUAGACUCAGUCACUGCCUCAGGUGUCAGGAAAAUGAUUCUAUUCUUUAUCCCGUAAUGAGAUUAUUUUAAGUGAUCUCAGCAAGGAAAUUCAAUCUCACAAAUGAUUUUUAUGUUACAGGUCUAGGACUCAGCACUCUCUGCCAAGGGAGUGGAUGAGCUUGCUUAAAGAGUGUGGAGGUUGAGAGAACCAUAUAGGGGUUGUUUACCAAGUAUGGAAUCCAAGAAUCUGCUAGGAUCACUCUGUCAUUUGGCCACAGAUAAAUUAGGCUCAAUACCUGGUUCAUGAUUUGUGGAAAGUCAGUGGCCUCCCCAAGCAUGCUGUGAAUUCCUAGAUCCCACAGAUUCUCACAGUUACCUCAGGCUCUACUGACCUACUACUGCCAGUGAAUCCAUUCAGUUCUUGUUCCAUCCAUGUCAUCUUAGCUCCACUUCUUGAUUUUUGUAUGAAAACAAGGACUUUAUGAUAUCUAGAAAUUUUCUGAGAGGUCAAGUGGUCAAUAACAUUAGCUGUAUGUUGGAAGGAGUGAAAUGUUAAACAAAAGAAAAAGCAAGUCAAGCUGUUAAAGACCUCACAGAUCAUUAAAGAUUCCAGGUUUUAUCCUAUUUCGUUAUCUUUAGGUUGAGUCUCUCUGGGAAAAUGUCAUUUUUAUUUUUGACAUCUAAAUUUUCAACUGUUUUUUAGGAAACUAUUUAAUCUCUCCUUCAGGAUCCGUCUUUUUUUCACCGAUAGUAUAGGUCCCAUGUCUAAACAAUUCAGUGUGAGUUAAUCCCUGGGUCACCUGCCAGUUAGUUCUUAGAGGACUUUUCCCUUUGAAACAAGCACAAUUGUGACUUUUGCUAGGAGACAGAUUCAACGGUAGGCACCAAAGAGAUGGGGUAAGAGGCUUUGACAUGCCCAGUGAGGCAAAGUAAUCUGUGUUGGACAGGAUCUCCCAGUCUAGUCCCCUUGAAGGUCUUGCUCCUAGCACAGAUCUUCCUAAUUACUCCUUUGACUGUACCAGCAAAUUCAGGUUUCCCAAAGGUAAACAAUGCAUUUUGGGAAGCAGAUUGUCAAAUGCCAAGAGAGAGAAUCUUUUCUUACCUGCCGUCUGAUUAGCAAGACCAUCUUUCUUGGAUGGAAAUGAAUAUUUCUUAUCACAAAAAAUAGUGAUGUUUCAAAAACUCUCACCUACCGUCUGCCCCAUACACACACACUGCACACCACAAGUGCACACAUACCUCACACCACACCCACACACCCACACACACACAUUUUUUGAGCCUUUUUAAAAAUUUGAAAUAGACCUGAGUAACUCUUUUUUUGUUUAUUCCAAUGCCUGGACAAAACUUUAUAGCCAUUACCAAUAAGGUCUUAGACUUUUAAUAAGGUUGCAGGCGAGGCAUUCCUACUGCUCAGUUUUGAUUUUGAAGGUGAAAGAAGAGGAUGCAUUAUUUUAUUGCAUCUGUAAGACAAAUGAAUGGCUGUGAUUCAAGAACAGAAAGAAUAACCUGCAAAGUAGUCAAAAGACUAUAAGAAGAGAAUCAAAAGGACCAUUCUAGAAAAUAGUGGAUGGGAAAGCCAAUUUGCAAAACAUUAGGUUAUGAGGGAUUGGUGCGGUAAAAAUGAACAGAGUUGUGACACAGUCUAUAAGAGAAACUGGGAGAAAUGGGGAAGAAAUAUGGCCCAUCUUGUUCGGUUAUCAAUCUGAACUUGAUAACCGAUGUACCUGAAGCCAUCUACUUAGCCAAAAAUUUACAUGAAUCAUUUUGGGAACCUUUAUAAUUUAAAUUAUAUCAAUAUUUAAUGCUUUGAGAAUGGGAAAGCUAUAUUCUUUUGUGAACUGAAUGAGGUGUUGUAUCCCUUCCUGACUCUGUACUGAAAGGCUAAGAAACCAGCCCCAUGGUGGGUUCCCAAUAUGACACUACAUAAGGAGACUGAGGUGUGUGAAAUAGUAAGAGAAACCUGAUUUGUCUUCAUAUUUCUGGAUAAUCCCAAAGGAGCCUGUAGCUUCUAAGUAAAUGACUUGAAGCUAGAUAGUGUGGGUCCCGGAAAUUCUGAAGAAACUGUCUUAUGCCACCAGGGGAGUGAAGACUGGAUCAAUUUAUCAUAUACAGUGAACUGCAGCCUGAGCAGUGGUGAUACAGCUGGGUGCCCAGAUGCAAGUAAAGGCCAGGGUCUAAUCCUGCCUUCCCAUAUAGCAAGCAAAUUCUCCAAAGGGUAUGCAAGAGAGAUCCAGUGUUGUGCCCUUUCUUGUAUUCCUGGAAGGGCUGGCACUCUCCCUGCAAGAACCUGCUAUUUAUUCUUUCUUUUCAGAAACAAUUUGAGCUACUUCUGAUAUAGAAAAAGGCAAUUUAACAUUUUGCUAAAGUUCUGAGAUUAUUAAAUCCAUUUCCCUAAUAACAUACAGUAGGAUUGUUUCCUGUUAUAUCCUAAUGACAAGUAGAUGACAUGAAGGUGUAACCUAGAUCACACCUAUAUCAAAUCUGGUAAAAUAAAGAAAUAGAAACUGCUGUUAGUGUAUCAUUGGAAAUUAAAAUUCAAUAAGGUGAAAAGUGAUUAUAUAUGAAAACUAGUUUUUAAGUUUUAAAAUUCUGCCCUCCUUUUGUUUUCUCACCAAACAGCUUAGUUUCUGUUCUAAUAUGUUUGAAGUAUGCACAUACGUAGAGGGCUUUGAUCUUUGCUCAAUCUGAAAAUACCUCCAAAAUUGCAAGAUUGAAACAGUCCUCAAUUACUGAAUAUUUUGCAAUUCACAGGAUACAGCAGAAGUCUGUAAGCUAUUGAAAAUAUGUGUCUGAUGUGAAUGUAGAAUGUUCACAUUAAUGUUGAGAACAGGAAAAUAAAAGGCACAUAGCAAUACAUAUCAUAUUAUUGGUGUUUAUUACCUCCAUUUUUCAGAUGCUGUAGGAAGGAACCAAGUCAAAUGAAUACUCAAGCCUAUUGUCAUGGAGUUCCCAUUGUAGCUCAACAGAAAUGGGGAUGUUGGUUUGAUCCCUGGCCUCGCUCAUUAGGUUAAGGAUCCCGCAUGGCCAUGAGCUGUGGUGUAGGUCACAGACUCGGCUCAGAUCCCAUGUUGCUGUGGAUGUGGUGUAGGCUAGCAGGUGUAGCUCUGGUUCACUCCUAGACCCCCUAGCGUGGGAACUUCCAUAUUAUGCAAAUGUAGCCCUAAAAAGCAUUAAAAAAAAAAAAAAAAGCCUGUUGUCAUGAACCCUAACGCUAAACUUAUAUGGCUCAGUAUUAUCAAAUUUGGAUUUAUGUCAUUGGAUUCUGAGGCUACAGAACCAGGUAAAAUAUAGGGAAAACUUUACAAUUAUGGGGUGGACAAAGCAACAUUGUUCUGACAGUGAAAAUCACCCAACUAUAAUUUUUUUUUAAGGGAAAAACAUACCUAGUUCACAUCACCUGAUUAUUAAGAGGAACCUGAUGAAGUGAUUCUACUAGAGGCAAGGGAAAAAUACUUAUAUCUUGACAUUUUUCACUAGGCUCAGGAGAAACUCAGUUUACCAUGAUUAAACUAGCUCUUUCAUUUGAAAAGAUGUCUGCUCUAGGCAGGUCAGCUUUGCAUGAGACUUUAGGACAGGGAGUUGGACUUUUGUGUUAGGCAGAACCUUCUAGGCUCCUUAAGUAUCUCUGGAGUCAGAUAUUACCAAAGAAGGGCCAUCACACAGAAUUGUAAUAGGCCCUAACGGCCGUUUUGGCCCUGGCCCAGACUUACCGCUAGCAUAGCUAGCAGUGAUCUAACCCUGCAAUUAUCCUGCUGCCCAACUCCAUGCCUGAGGACUUAACUAUGUACGCAUUACUGUGUGUUAAGUCACUGCUGUUCAUCUCUUGGUUAGAGAGUAUUUUUCCAAAAUCUUAUUUAGUGAAAACAAACUACAAGAAGAAAAAAGUAGUUUUCAACUGAAGAUACUCCUAGCUCUCUGGCUCAGUGAAAAAAACUAAUCAAAUAAAACUGAAAAGGGCAGGACUCUUGGCACGCUUAUUCAUUCAUCCACUCAUUUAACAAAUGCCCACUAUUUGUCAGCUCUCAGCCAAGUUCCAGGAAUUGUGUGAUGAAGGAAACAGUCUCUGCCUUCAUGUGGGGUAGAGUUUAAACAUAAUAUUCUGCUAAAGAUGUGUUAUACUCAGUGUUUGAAGAUCCACAGGCUUUCUGUCAUGAAAGUGUUCAAUCAAUGCAUUCAUCUCACUUUAAAAAUGUGUGGGAGGGGGAGGGAGAGAGAGAGGGAGGGAUAGAAGGAGAGAGAGAGAGAGCAAGAAAGAGAAAAUGUGUAAUUCUAGUUUAUAUUGUCAAUAGGAGAACCAAUUUUCCUCUGUUCACUUGGGGGUUUUACAGAGGAAAUAUGAUUUCUGCCUCUUUUGUUCUCUAGCAAUGUAGAAUGCAUUUGUGUUCUCAUCUGAAAAGAGGAGAAGGAUGUCAAGGUUAGAGCUCUAGUCUUUUUUCCUUCUCACUUAUUUACUCAAUUCAAGGAAAAGGAUUACAAAUUGGUUAUAAUUUGUUUUUAUUUUUACUGCUCUAGCACUUUACUCAUAGUAACUCAAUAAAUGUCUGGUCAUCGUCUUCAUCACAAUUUACCAGUGUGUGCCCAGCAAUUAUUAGUUAAUGGGAAAGAAGAGGAUGAGCAACAUCUAGUAUCUGCCCUCUAAGUGCUUGAAAUGAUGGUAAUUCAAUCAUUAUAACUAGAGGAGAGUUAAGGCUUUUUUUACUAGGAAGAGUCCAGUUAAAGAAAAAACUGCAAAUAAUUUAUUUUUCAUGACAUUUUCUCUAAAGAGGUAUUUCACAAACUGUCCCAAGGUCAAUUAUAUACUAAUUCAUUCCAUAAGAAAAGGAGCUGAUGAUGACAUCAAUUGAAACUAUAUCAUUGGUGCACAAGGGUUAAGUAGCAAAGGUAAACGGGAAGCUUUACUGCAGGGCUUAGUACACUGACUAUUCAGAAGGUACUAAUAUGCUAGAUAUCUCAAACUAAUUUGACCGUAGAAUCUGUUUUCUCUGCAAUCUUAUUAAUUUCAGUCUCAUAGAAUGCAUGUGUUCCACUGAACAUUUUGGAAAAACUGCUAUAAAUUAUAUUUCCCUGAAUCAUAUCUCCUAGAAUAUGUUCCUCCAUGACCUAAAAGAAAAGGAAAUACACCAGCAAACACAACACAAAAAUUCAUAAACAAAUAUGAACUCUGCAGUUUCUUAAGGCUGUUUAACAUUACACUAAUUAACAAGAAUGUAAACAUCAUUUUGCAAUUAAAAAGAUACAUUUAGGAGUCACUAACCUAGGUUUUAAUGUAGACUACCUAACUUACAAGCCAAAUGAUUGUGGGAAAGCAGUGUCAACUUGCUCAACCUCAGUCUUUUUAUCUGUCCUAUGGGAAUACUGAUAUCUAUUUUGACAUUCUUGCUGGAUCAUUGAAAAUCUCAAGCAAGUUCAUGGAUAUGAAACAAGUUUCAAACAUCUCGCACAGUUUAUUAUUAUGUUCUGCCAGAAAUCCUUUCUGUCAUUUACUAUUCUGGGAUAAUAUAAGACUGUAAAUAUGAAUAAAGAAUCGACACAUAUAUUAAUUUUGACAUUUCUUUUGGUAAAAUUAAGAAUAUGUCUAUAUUAUUUCAGCAGUUUUAUAAGCGGGAACUUAAAUACAGAAAAGGAAAGUCAUUUUCUCUGGUUUUAUUGGGCUGAAAGGGGCAAUAACAUCUAUUCCAGCAUUUGCUUUCUAGAAAUAAACAAAAACAGGCUUUAUUUGCAUAUAUGAUGCCCAAACUGUUCUGGAAACUAUUUAUCUGAUAAUAUUUGGUCAAGUGUCAUUCCACUUAUUAAUACCAUUACCAUAGAAGAAAUUGAUAACUCAAGUUGGACUACUGGUUGAUUUGACUCAAAGUUAGAAUUGACACUGUUUUCCAGCCAUUCUGUCUGUUAAUCUAUGGGCAUCAUUCCAAACACUAGGAAAUUUUAGGUCUCCUAAAAUAUAUCAUAAUGCUUAAGAUAAAAUACAAAUAACCUGACAUUGGGGGUAAAUAAAAUAGUUUAACAGAUACCAAGCUUGAUCUCAGUAGAAUUUGCCUAUAUACAUACAGAUGUGUAUAUAUAUACAUAUAUAUAUAUGGUAUUACUUCAAAUUUAGCAUAAAAAUUUAGUCUCCAAUGAAUAGGGUCUCUUUGUAAGUUAAUUCAAGUUAGUAGAAAGAAAUGUUGGUUGCCAAAAUUUAUGCAAAUUAUUUUUAAUAGUGUUGCUUUUUACCUCCUCAAGGCUUAACUGUAAAUUGCAAUUCAGAAUGACAUCAUUAUUUUUUAUUGAAGUAUAAUUGACUUACAAUAUUCUGUUAGUUUCAGAUGUACAGCAUAGUGAUUUGAUUUUUUUCAAAUUAUAUUCUAUUAUAGUUAUUGACGUUAUUCUUAAAUUACAAUUUAGUCUACCGUUUUCACCACCAUUACUAAUUUCUACAACUCUUGGCAUAAUAUUUAGUUAAUUCUGCAUAGCUAUAUAUUUCUCAGUGUUUUUAUAAGAUGAAUAAUUGCUUCAAUUUUUAAUAUUUAUUUCCUCAAUUUUGGGCGUUCAUAAAAGUAUAAAAAAAGGUGAGGUGCUUGUAGUAAAAAAAAAUUGAGAGUUCUCUUAUGACACAACAGGUUAAGGAUCCUGCAUUGU
rnacentral:lncRNA from 1 species